rnacentral:rRNA from 1 species
UACGGGGGGGGUAAGCGUUGUUCGGAAUUACUGGGCGUAAAGGGCGCGUAGGCGGUCAGGUCAGUCCCGUGUGAAAUCCCUCGGCUCAACUGAGGAACUGCACGGGAAACUGCCUGGCUUGAGUUCGGGAGAGGGAAGCGGAAUUCCGGGUGUAGCGGUGAAAUGCGUAGAUAUCCGGAGGAACACCGGUGGCGAAGGCGGCUUCCUGGACCGACACUGACGCUGAGGCGCGAAAGCUAGGGGAGCAAACGGG